rnacentral:rRNA from 1 species
GCUGCCGGUUCGCCGCCCGUCGGUGUCUAACUGGCAUGCACGUGUGGACGUCCUGCCGGUGGCCCGAUCCGGCGCGGGUCUCGUACCUGCCGUCCGAGGAGGGCCUAUCAUACCCGUCGCGGUGCUCUUAACCGAGUGUCUCGAUGGGCCGGCACGUUUACUUUGAACAAAUUAGAGUGCUUAAAGCAGGCAGCAUCCGCCUGAAUACCGAGUGCAUGAAAUAAUGGAAUAAGACCUCGGUUCUGUUUUGUUGGUUUUCGGAAUCCCCGAGGUAAUGAUCAAUAGGGACAGACGGGGGCAUUCGUAUUGCGACCUUGAAGGUGAAAUUCUUGGAUCGUCACAGGACGGACCGAAGCGAAAGCAUUUGCCAGAAUGUUUUCUCUGAUCAAGAACGAAAGUUAGAGGUUCGAAGGCGAUCAGAUACCGCCCUAGUUCUAACCAUAAACAAUGCCAGCCAGCAAUCCGCCAAAUUUCCUCCGAUGACUCGGCGGGCGGCUUCCGGGAAACCAAGCCUUUUGGGUUCCGGGGGAAGUAUGGUUGCAAAGCUGAAACUUAAAGGAAUUGACGGAAGGGCACCACCAGGAGUGGAGCCUGCGGCUUAAUUUGACUCAACACGGGAAACCUCACCAGGCCCGGACACCGGGAGGAUUGACAGAUUGAGAGCUCUUUCUUGAUUCGGUGGGUGGUGGUGCAUGGCCGUUCUUAGUUGGUGGAGCGAUUUGUCUGGUUAAUUCCGAUAACGAACGAGACUCUAGCCUGCUAACUAGUCGCUUCCGGUAUCCUUGUGCUACCGGCGACUCCUGAUCUUCUUAGAGGGACAGGCGGCUCCUAGCCGCACGAGAUUGAGCAAUAACAGGUCUGUGAUGCCCUUAGAUGUUCUGGGCCGCACGCGCGCUACACUGAAGGAAUCAGCGUGUCCUCCCUGGCCGAAAGGCCCGGGUAACCCGCUGAACCUCCUUCGUGCUAGGGAUUGGGGCUUGCAAUUGUUCCCCAUGAACGAGGAAUUCCCAGUAAGCGCGAGUCAUAAGCUCGCGUUGAUUACGUCCCUGCCCUUUGUACACACCGCCCGUCGCUACUACCGAUUGAAUGAUUUAGUGAGGUCUUCGGACCGGUGGGCGAGGGGGUUCUCCUCCUCGAUUCCACCGGGAAGAUGCCCAAACUUGAUCAUUUAGAGGAAGUAAAAGUCGUAACAAGGU